AUAGAUAAAUCUAUUGGAGUAGACUGUACUCUGGAAAUCGAAACGAAUCGAGCAGACACUAAUAAAUUGUGGUUGUUUAUCCUUUUCUCACCGAGACAAGUCGUAUCAAAUGAGGAAGAACCUCACUGAAACCUUAAAAAUUCUAGGGCAGAUUGUCAACUCUCCGUUAUCAACCCUAGCACGUGUCUCUUUAGCUUUUGGGUAGAUGGAUGAGUAAGCGUCUUUGCAUUCAUGAAACAUGGAAUACGCAGGUUCCAUGUGAAUGUUCACCACGACUUAGAGAUUUGAUUUGGUUAUCGAUCAGGAUUACAAAGCUCAAAUUAGUUUUCGGAUCGGUGCUGCAAAACAGAAAUUCACGAACCCCAAUCGGUUAGUAAGCUGUCUCAUGUUGUUAGGAUAUCAAUCGGCUCUCUGAUUCCCCCAGAAAUCGAAAUUGGGUUCGUUAUUUGUAUUUAAAUUUGAUUUUUAUUCAUUAUUUGUAUGAAUUUUAAUUUAGAUUGAAAAGGGUUCGUUAAACCAAUGUUUAUGUUUCAUCUUAUGCCAUUGUACUCCUGAUCUUGACCUAAUUGAUAGGGGCCUAUGUGCAUAUUAGUCUGAUUGGGUCCUCCCACAUCAAUCUUCCAUCACGAUUUAUUGCCGCUUUGAUGAUUUAUUUGUGUUUUUUCGUCUGCAGUUCCAAUCUUCUUACCGUAACAAAAGGAACUGCAUGGUUGUUUUAGCCUUUCAUCUUCCUUUUUGUAGUAAAUUUAUUUGUUUUCAUUGUCAGCAGUGUUUUAUAUGAUUAAUAACAACCGUUUCGUUUUGCAUCAAUUAAUUGUCUUAGCAUUGAAAGAAUGAGGAGGUGCAUCCUAUACAAAGGUCACCUGAUUUUUCAAAGGCACAUCACACUCAAGCUCAUCUUCCCUCUAUUGAACUUCUCAUCUCACAGUUAUUCCAAGUCGUCAGAAUGGAUUCUACAACAAUUAAUAAGGAGAUUAUCAUCUGAAUAAUGUAGUCUAACAAGCCCAUUGAAUAAGGAGUAGAAGAUAAAUGGGUUAACUGACCUGCGAUUAAACAAAUAAAAACAAGGAUGAAGAAAAGGCUAGAAGAAGGAAUUGGGUGAAACGGUUUCCUUAAAUCAGUACCUUUUGUGCGUCAAAAACUAAAGCUCCCUGAAAUUCAGUGAAAUUUCAUUGAAUUCUUCUGAUCUAAAGGAUAUUACAGAGGAAUGUUUAUGCAUUAGACUUCAGCUGCGAAAAAUACGACACCAGCCAUCAGGUUUUCGGAGUAGCAGAAGAGUGCAUUGGCCUCUCAAGAUCAAGUUGUAAAAUGUUCAAACUGGCGUUCCUAACAGUUUUUGGGUUUUCAUAUAAGCAGCAGGAUCCAAUGCUGUUAAUUCGGGAGAAAGAACAGAUACAAAAGCAUCAAAUAAGUGAUAAAGGAAAGUAGCAGCGACCAAAUUUGUACUUUCAGAAUAUCAAUUCUCCUGUCUUCAGUGUUUAAAAAAGCGUUUCAUAGCGCGAAUCAGAGCGCGCUUUUUUGCGCUUUGAAUAAGAAACGCACCGAAACGUGCGCUCUAGAAAGUAGAAACAGGUGGGAUACUUUUUUUCUUCUAAAAGGCUAUUCAGAUAUUGUCUUUAUACAUGAGCUAUGGAAGCUAGAUGUCAAAAGAGAGUAUGACAGCUACUGAUCACAUAAAAAUGUGUAUAGCUUGUAAGAAGCCAGCUGUCCAAGGUGUAGCAACCUGUUACAAUUAAUAAUAAGCCAGUGUCUAGUUAUGGAAAAGAAAAAUGAAAAAACAAGAAACAGUUGUCAUCAAAUUGAAGACAUUUCUUACUCUCUUUAAGACUACUUUCCCUCUUCUUGUGCGUACUUCUUAGUUUUCAUGUAGAACAGAAGUAUACAUACAUAUGUAUUAUGUAUUAUGAGGCAGCGCUUCGGUAACGCUUUUCAAUAGCGCUGCUCUCUUUUUACUAA